rnacentral:lncRNA from 10 species
GAUUUUUGGUGGGGUGUUGAUGCAAUGUUUUGCAACUAGAUAGGGAUGAUGGCUGGCUGCACAGCAUUGAUGGAGUUCAAUGGUGCAAUCGCGGCUCACGGCAACUAGAGGAGUUAUAACACAAGAUUUGGGGUGACGGCAUGGAAAUUAAAAGCUGGUGAAGCACAUGGCCUUUAGAUCUGGAUGUACUUGAGCUGUGGGAUACAGAGCAUAAAGGGGAGCACACCACUAAGGUAAAUCUAGGUUCUUGUCUCAUAACCAGGAAAAAUUAGACAUGCCGACAAAUUGAAAGGAGCUUUAGGAGUCAGAUCCUGAUAGAGACCAGACACUGCUGGAAUUCUCACUCCAACAAAAGAUUACUUCAAGGUCGGAACCCAAACCUGGGUGAAGAAUAACUCACUUAUAACCUGGCAGGAUCCAUGAUGGUGCCAGCCCCUUCACCAAAUGUGACCAUAAUUCAAAAGGAUCACACA